UACGGAGGGUGCAAGCGUUAUCCGGAUUCACUGGGUUUAAAGGGUGCGUAGGCGGGUAUGUAAGUCAGCGGUGAAAUCCCCGAGCUUAACUUGGGAACUGCCGUUGAUACUAUAUAUCUUGAAUGUCGUGGAGGUUAGCGGAAUAUGUCAUGUAGCGGUGAAAUGCUUAGAUAUGACAUAGAACACCUAUUGCGAAGGCAGCUAACUACGCGAAUAUUGACGCUGAGGCACGAAAGCGUGGGGAUCAAACAGG
rnacentral:rRNA from 1 species